CAGUGGCCCCUGUUUCUCUCUGCCUUUGUUUGGUGAUAUAUCAGGUCAGCCUCUGGGAUCCCAGCAGUAAGAAUGUGAUUCUGUUCAGUGCUUGCUAGAGGAGCAUGGAAUAGGGUUGAGAUUCGGUUAUUCCUGAGAAGAAGACAGUCUACCAAGCAGCCUUCAAGCUACAGGGCAGAGCCUUCUGUGCAGCUUCCUUCUCCCCUAAUCUUCCCAAGUCUCCCUGUGAACUUCUGGAACUCCUGUCAGUCUUCGGAGUCCUCGGUCAUUCCCUGGCCACCUCGUCAUUCCAGAAUCUUCUGGCCCAAGUUGCAGCUUGUGAUUUGGCUGCCUGCCCGCCCACCCGUCUGGAAGGUAAAGCCCUCAGAGCGGAGGAAGGAUCGGGACUUCAUAGACACCUGGUUGUGGGAGGGUAGGUAAGGAAGUGUGCCAUGCCCCGGGGAGGAGCAUCUUCUCAGGGAAUAAUCAGCUGCCAUCCCUGCCAUGAACCCCACCAAGACCGACUUCCAGCACCGUCUGGCUUAAGAAUCUCGCCUGCUCUCACCCAUGAGUCUGGCACAUCGUUCCACAAAUGAAGAUUCCUAAAUGGUAAGUGGUUAAGUUGCAGAUUAUAUAUUUUGAGCUGAAAUGUUUAUUUCCUGCCCCACCCUACCCCAGUCAGUGCUCUUCUGUUGGAACCAGCUGCCUGGCUGGCUGCUCCGCUUCCUCAGGAUCACCUGAGCAGAGAGUGGAGGUGACUUCGGUGUGGACAGGGGGAGGCAGGGAGCGGUUUGUGAAUGCCCUAGUUCCCUUCCAUCUGGCUAGGGAGGAUUAUAGAACACUCUCCUAAUGCGAUUUUGUUUUAUCCUAGGGAAGUCAUGUAAAGGAAAAAAACAAUGAAAAUUGACAUUCCAUUUUAUUUUGUAUGCUUUU